rnacentral:rRNA from 1 species
UGCGAACUCCUACGGGAGGCAGCAGUGAGGAAUAUUGGUCAAUGGACGGAAGUCUGAACCAGCCAAGUAGCGUGCAGGAUGACGGCCCUAUGGGUUGUAAACUGCUUUUGUAUGGGGAUAAAGUUAGGGACGUGUCCCUAUUUGCAGGUACCAUACGAAUAAGGACCGGCUAAUUCCGUGCCAGCAGCCGCGGUAAUACGGAAGGUCCAGGCGUUAUCCGGAUUUAUUGGGUUUAAAGGGAGCGUAGGCUGGAGAUUAAGUGUGUUGUGAAAUGUAGACGCUCAACGUCUGAAUUGCAGCGCAUACUGGUUUCCUUGAGUACGCACAACGUUGGCGGAAUUCGUCGUGUAGCGGUGAAAUGCUUAGAUAUGACGAAGAACUCCGAUUGCGAAGGCAGCUUACCGUAACGUUACUGACGCUUAAGCACGAAGGUGCGGGUAUCGAACAGGAUUAGAAACCCCGGUAGUCCUAUC